AGAUCACAUCGCUAUUCGGUCGGCACAGCUCAGUCUUCCAUUUCUCACGACACAGUCCAGUUGUCCGUUUUCGUCUCCCUCCCUUUCUCAUUUGUUGUAAACGUCUUCUAGUGUUGUUGAAAAGUGCCUACCUACCUUUGUUAGUCGUGCAUUAUCCUUUCCAGUCAUUGUUACUCGUGCUCUCAACUACUAAUCAGUCUGUAGUGGCUACAACGCUCUCUCAGUGAAUAACAAGUUCAGCACAACGUUCUCUCAGUGAGUAACAAGUUCAGCACAACGCUUUCCUUCUCUAAACGACCUACUUACUCCAGUCAGCCUACACCGCAAACGUUUGAGGAAGAUUUCACCGAACGGACAACUUACUCAACAUGUCCAGUCAAGACGUCGAAGGAUUUGCUGUGGAAGUACGGCGACGGGAUGCCACAACGGAAAGUCUUCAGGCUGCUGUGCCUCCUGAGCAGCCGCAAUUGUCCUCCACAUCACGUAAAGUGACAUGGAAACCAUCAUCAUCAUCAUACCCAUGGACACGCUGCUACUCAAUGGGAACAAUGCUCAUUCUUGUGAUCUGCUUGGAGGGUGAGCAUCUUCGUGAUGAAAUCCUCUACACUAUUGUACACUACAUAUUUAGUGUACAUAGUGUAGAGGUGGAUGAGCAAGACGAAACUUACAACAACCGGACACUACUGCACUGGUGUGCAAUGUGUGGAAAUGAUCGACUAGCAAAUAUUCUCAUCGGACGAGGAGCUGAUGUCAAUGUGCAGGACAGCAGCGGGCUACGAUGGACUCCACUUCACAGGGCAGUCAACAAUAACCAGAUCAAUGUUGUCAAGGUGAUGCUGUCACAUGACAGUGACGGUGUCACCUUGGAUACCACACUGCGUAACAGUGUAAGUAUUUGAUUGUGUGUUGUUGUGAAGUGAACAGUUUCUACUCGUCCUUCUCACCUGUGCUGCCUCUCUCUCUCUCUCUCUCUCUCUCUCUCUCUCUCUCUCUCUCUCUCUGCCCCUUGCUCUCUCUCUCUCUCACACACAACUACCACAACUCUCCUCUUGUCAGAAAUGUGUACCAGUUGUACAAUACCGUACUCGAUGACAUCAUGCGUACAAUAUCGCCACGUGGUCAUAUUCACUCUGUGGUUCAAUUUUGAAUAUUUCGAAAUCAGUAUGUGAAGGAGUAGACUGUUUGAUGGUGUCUGUUGGAACGAGUGAGGAGUGAAGGGUUGUUGUUAUUGUUACGAGUACGCAGAAGACAUGCUGUUGUUCCUGACGUGGAGCAGGCGCUGUGGACGUCCUCCUCUCGUCGUGGAUAUUUUCGUUCGAGUAGAAAUCUGAAAAAAAAUUCAAAUUUGUCGAGGCAUGAACUGCAUGGAGUAGCAAUGUUGCUGAGGAAGGAGAGACUUGUUCUGUACAUAUAAGUUGUCUUGUGGAGAGGUUGAUUUCGUCUGGUUGUAGAUUAUGUCCUUGGCCUUCGCUGUGUUUUUGUUUUUGUAAAAAUUAGGGACCAUCGCAAAAGUUCGCAGAAGCCCCUGAAACGAAGAGCAUACGUUUGGGGGGGAGGGAGUCGGUGCGAAAAUCGCAAACCGGGCUUCAAUUCAAAAAAGUAUUGACGACAUAAUUAUAGGAGCUGUAGGAUUAGCAUGCCAUCACAGCGGGCGUAGAUCGCUUGUCAGGACGCGUAGUCCAUUCAUGCAACUGCGCGUGUCGCGUAGCUGGCUGGCUGUACACUGUGUGUAGUCUAGUACCAAGAGUCCAUAAAACGCGUGGUUUAUGGACUCUUGCUAGUACUAGUACUAGCAGGGGUUCAUAGGGUUUAUGAACCCCUGCUGUAUUAUUAUAAUAAUUAUUAUGUGUGA